UGGGGGAUAUUGCACAAUGGGCGAAAGCCUGAUGCAGCGACGCCGCGUGGGGGAUGAAGGCUUUCGGGUUGUAAACCUCUUUCGCUAUCGAACAAGGCCCGCUUAGGGUGGGUUGAGGGUAGGUGGAGAAGAAGCGCCGGCUAACUACGUGCCAGCAGCCGCGGUAAUACGUAGGGCGCGAGCGUUGUACGGAAUUAUUGGGCGUAAAGGGCUUGUAGGCGGCUUGUUGCGCCUGCUGUGAAAACGCGGGGCUUAACUUCGCGCGUGCAGUGGGUACGGGCAGGCUUGAGUGUGGUAGGGGUGACUGGAAUUCCAGGUGUAGCGGUGGAAUGCGCAGAUAUCUGGAGGAACACCGAUGGCGAAGGCAGGUCACUGGGCCAUUACUGACGCUGAGGGGCGAAAGCAUGGGUAGCGAACAGG
rnacentral:rRNA from 1 species